rnacentral:rRNA from 1 species
AUUGAACGCUGGCGGCAGGCCUAACACAUGCAAGUCGAGCGGAGGAAGGGAGCUUGCUCCUGGAUUCAGCGGCGGACGGGUGAGUAAUGCCUAGGAAUCUGCCUGGUAGUGGGGGAUAACGUCCGGAAACGGGCGCUAAUACCGCAUACGUCCUGAGGGAGAAAGUGGGGGAUCUUCGGACCUCACGCUAUCAGAUGAGCCUAGGUCGGAUUAGCUAGUUGGUGGGGUAAAGGCCUACCAAGGCGACGAUCCGUAACUGGUCUGAGAGGAUGAUCAGUCACCCUGGAACUGAGACACGGUCCAGACUCCUACGGGAGGCAGCAGUGGGGAAUAUUGGACAAUGGGCGAAAGCCUGAUCCAGCCAUGCCGCGUGUAUGAAGAAGGUCUUCGGAUUGUAAAGCACUUUAAGUUGGGAGGAAGGGCAGUAAGUUAAUACCUUGCUGUUUUGACGUUACCAACAGAAUAAGCACCGGCUAACUUCGUG